rnacentral:rRNA from 1 species
UACAGAGGUCUCAAGCGUUGUUCGGAUUCAUUGGGCGUAAAGGGUGCGUAGGCGGCGCGGUAAGUCGGGUGUGAAAUCUCGGGGCUUAACUCCGAAACUGCAUUCGAUACUGCCGUGCUUGAGGACUGGAGAGGAGACUGGAAUUUACGGUGUAGCGGUGAAAUGCGCAGAUAUCAGGAGGAACACCGGUGGCGAAGGCGGGUCUCUGGGCCGAUACUGACGCUGGAGGAGCGAAAGCGUGGGGAGCAAACAGG